GCUCAGUCCUAUGUAGUUGAGGUGUACGUGGCUGUUGAAAACAAAAUAACUACAAACUACAUGAACUACGUGCCAUAUAGCUACACUGGUAACAGAAGACAACUGGCUCAAGACAACAUUAGCAAAGAUGUGCAGUAUGCCUUGGCUGAGGUGAACAAGAUGUUGUCUACCUUGAGCAUCUACGGACUGAAUAUUGACCUACGUCUACGUAAACUGGAUUUUCUG